rnacentral:rRNA from 1 species
UACAGGAGGGGCAAGCGUUGUUCGGAAUUACUGGGCGUAAAGGGCGCGUAGGCGGCCUUCUAAGUCGAACGUGAAAUCCCCGGGCUCAACCCGGGAACUGCGUCCGAUACUGGAAGGCUUGAAUUCGGGAGAGGGAUGCGGAAUUCCAGGUGUAGCGGUGAAAUGCGUAGAUAUCUGGAGGAACACCGGUGGCGAAGGCGGCAUCCUGGACCGGCAUUGACGCUGAGGCGCGAAAGCCAGGGGAGCAAACGGG